rnacentral:misc_RNA from 1 species
GAUGAAGAACGUAGCGAAAUGCGAUAAGUAAUGUGAAUUGCAGAAUUCAGUGAAUCAUCGAAUCUUUGAACGCACAUUGCGCCCGCCAGUAUUCUGGCGGGCAUGCCUGUUCGAGCGUCAUUUCAACCCUCAAGCACAGCUUGGUGUUGGGACUCGCGUUAAUUCGCGUUCCCCAAAUUGAUUGGCGGUCACGUCGAGCUUCCAUAGCGUAGUAGUAAAACCCUCGUUACUGGUAAUCGUCGCGGCCACGCCGUUAAACCGCAACUUCUGAAUGUUGACCUCGGAUCAGGUAGGAAUACCCGCUGAACUUAAGCAUAUCAAUAAGCGGAGGA